UCUUUGUCUGCUCGGGCAACUUGAACAAAAGGAGAAACUCGGAUGAACUCUCCAUCUCCUGCUCGCCUCUCCCGGCUUAACUCAUCUUCGGCAACUUCAUCGGAAGAGAUUUGCUCAACUUUCUUCGAGCUCUCCCGCCGCUUAAAAGCUAAGAGCCCCGCCGUAGGCUUCUAAGGAAAUCUGGUUUCACAGUUUAGAGAAAGGAGAAGGUCACAACAGGAUUGUUGGGAAAAUGGGAUGGUUGCCAGAACAUCAGUCUGUGAUGGGUGCCAUAUUGCAUUGCUCUUUGGAUGGUGGAAUACAGCUUGGGAUUCCUCAGGGCUGCCUACCGUGGUUCAAGCUGGACCAUACAGCUGCUUAACAUCUCAGCUGUUUGGAUUCAUUGUAAUGGUUAAUGAAUGGUUAAUGGUCUCCUGGGGGAAUGGAAGAGCCCCAUGCUGAAACUUGUGGAUAUUCUGGAACAUGCUUCUGAGACCCAUUUGGAUUAUAUCACCAUCUGACACCAGGGUUCUGCAGCUGAUGAAAGGAGUUUACCAGAUCUUUUUAUGUGGUUGCUGAAGCAUUGUCGUGGGACAGCAGUAAUGAUGGAUGGAUGAGCAGAAUACACUUCAGGCUUGGGUCACAGAGAAACAUGAGAAUUUACACUUCUGAAAUAGGUGUGAAUGGGAUUGAAGGAAUUCCGUGGAGGAUUCUGAACUCUCCUUCUUCCUGCUUCAGGAAAGAUGAAGACCUACUCUGAGACCACCUCUGGUUAUGAUCCACAUGUGCUACUGAAGGUGGCUGGAAUGGUGUGACAAAUGAGAUUCAGAUGGAUCACUUUACCAGCUGUCAAGGCCAAUACUUCUGUACAGUCCCUGCUCUCAACAACAGCCUCAGUGUCCUUGUGGUGGGGUGUCUUGGAAGGACUGUGCACAUCAAGCUUCACACUCCCUCUGCACUUGAGGCUCUCUCUGCUGAGGCAAUGAACACAGACCUAUACUUCACACUGGUUUAUCACAGGAAUUUUUCCAGUCCCUGUUCAAACAGCUUCUGCCUGAGCAUCUCUGAACAGCUAUUUGGAGCAACUGGAAAGCAGACACAUCACAGAAACAAAGCUGGCAGUAAGAUUAUUCCUCAUGCUAAAAUAAUACUCAGAAGUUUGUAUUCUGUCAGCUGAGAUUAUAGUUCAGUUUCUUGGAGGAAGUGAGAUGCUAUUUUGCUGAAGAUAUAUGGCUCUGUGUCCCCUGUUGUUAUAUAAGCAAAUUGUG